CUACGGGUGGCAGCAGUUAGGGAUAUUCGGCAAUGGGGGAAACCCUGACCGAGCAAUGCCGCGUGAAUGAAGAAGUAUUUCGAUAUGUAAAGUUCUGUUGUUAAGGAAGAAAGGUACGAAUAGGAAAUGAUUCGUAAUUGACGGUACUUAACCAGAAAGCCCCUGCUAACUACGUGCCAGCAGCCGCGGUAACACGUAGGGGGCGAACGUUGUUCGAAUCAUUGGGCGUAAAGGGUGCGCAGGCGGUGACGCAAGUCUGGUGUGAAAGAUCUCGGCUCAACCGAGGGAACGCGCUGGAACUGUGUCACUAGAGUACAGGAGGGGGAGUUGGAAUUCCAGGUGUAGGGGUGAAAUCUGUAGAUAUCUGGAAGAACACCGGUGGCGAAGGCGAACUUCUGGCCAUGUACUGACGCUGAGGCACGAAGGCGUGGGGAGCAAACAGGAUUAGAUACCCCCGUAGUC
rnacentral:rRNA from 1 species